UACUUUUGCCGGCGAGUGGCGAACGGGUGAGUAAUGUAUCGGAACGUGCCCAGUAGCGGGGGAUAACUACGCGAAAGCGUGGCUAAUACCGCAUACGCCCUACGGGGGAAAGGGGGGGAUCUUAGGACCUCUCACUAUUGGAGCGGCCGAUAUCGGAUUAGCUAGUUGGUGGGGUAAAGGCCUACCAAGGCGACGAUCCGUAGCUGGUUUGAGAGGACGACCAGCCACACUGGGACUGAGACACGGCCCAGACUCCUACGGGAGGCAGCAGUGGGGAAUUUUGGACAAUGGGGGAAACCCUGAUCCAGCCAUCCCGCGUGUGCGAUGAAGGCCUUCGGGUUGUAAAGCACUUUUGUCAGGGAAGAAAAGGUUUCGGAUAAUACCCGGAACUGAUGACGGUACCUGAAGAAUAAGCACCGGCUAACUACGUGCCAGCAGCCGCGGUAAUACGUAGGGUGCAAGCGUUAAUCGGAAUUACUGGGCGUAAAGCGUGCGCAGGCGGUUCGGAAAGAAAGAUGUGAAAUCCCAGGGCUCAACCUUGGAACUGCAUUUUUAACUACCGAACUAGAGUAUGUCAGAGGGGGGUGGAAUUCCACGUGUAGCAGUGAAAUGCGUAGAUAUGUGGAGGAACACCGAUGGCGAAGGCAGCCCCCUGGGAUAAUACUGACGCUCAUGCACGAAAGCGUGGGGAGCAAACAGGAUUAGAUACCCUGGUAGUCCACGCCCUAAACGAUGUCAACUAGCUGUUGGGCCCUUCGGGGCUUAGUAGCGCAGCUAACGCGUGAAGUUGACCGCCUGGGGAGUACGGUCGCAAGAUUAAAACUCAAAGGAUUGACGGGGACCGCACAA
rnacentral:rRNA from 1 species